GAGGGUGGUCCAAAGACAACAAGAACUGCUAAUUCUCAAUCCCAUGGUUAAAUUCCAUGGCUCUCCUCG
rnacentral:tRNA from 1 species